rnacentral:rRNA from 1 species
AGAGUUUGAUCAUGGCUCAGGACGAACGCUGGCGGCGUGCUUAACACAUGCAAGUCGAGCGAGACCCCGUCUUCGGGUGGGUGUUCUAGCGGCGAACGGGUGAGUAACACGUGGGCAACCUGCCCUCAGCUCUGGGAUAACUCCAAGAAAUUGGGGCUAAUACCGGAUAUGACCGCUGACCGCAUGGUCUGGUGGUGGAAAGAUUUAUCGGCUGGGGAUGGGCCCGCGGCCUAUCAGCUUGUUGGUGGGGUAGUGGCCUACCAAGGCGACGACGGGUAGCCGGCCUGAGAGGGUGACCGGCCACACUGGGACUGAGACACGGCCCAGACUCCUACGGGAGGCAGCAGUGGGGAAUAUUGCGCAAUGGGCGAAAGCCUGACGCAGCGACGCCGCGUGGGGGAUGACGGCCUUCGGGUUGUAAACCUCUUUCAGCAGGACGAAGCGCAAGUGACGGUACCUGCAGAAGAAGCACCGGCCAACUACGUGCCAGCAGCCGCGGUA